rnacentral:misc_RNA from 1 species
ACCUACUGUUUAAUUUUGAGGGUUCGUUUUUACGAAUACUCAAAAUUAGCACUUUAAGCAACGGGAUUUAUCCGUUGGCGCCGUGCUUUAGCACUUUUAGCAACAGAAUAAACUGAACGCAUGUGAAGUUUGUUUGUUGGCGCUGUGCGUUAGCACUUUAAGCAACGGAAUUUAUUCGUUGGCGCCGUGCUUUAGCACUUUGAAAACUGCAUAUAUAUUUAGUGAUAUGACAUCUAAUUUGUAAUAUAUAAAGCUGAUAACUUUUUAAAAUUAUCGAAGUUGAUAGCUUCUAAUCUAUCAAACCUUUUUAACUGGUCAA